rnacentral:lncRNA from 1 species
GCCAAUCCAAGGAAUCUUGUCCAUUUUAGCAUAAUAAAGAAGCCUCAAUUGAACUAGAUUGCUCAUUCCAUCCAAUGUCGAAUCAUCUAUUGUCAGUGCCGGAAGCCGCAUUACUUCUAGGUGAUAGAGUCUACACGCAGAUUGAGGUAGAAUAGAUAUCUCAUUUUCUCUGUCACUCCAUGAAGAGAGGGAGAGGUAGCGGAGGUGAAUGAGUUUACCAACUUCAUCUGGAAACUUAUAGUCAGCUGCAGUCACUUCUAGAAAGCGUAAGCUUUUUAAAUCUUUUAGAACCUUAUUAAAAUCUACUACAGAGAAACUGUCGGCUAAAUGAAUAAUAAGGGUGCGUAAGUUCUUGAGAUGGGAGAUCAUAAGAGGGUUUACCUUGUUGACAGGUUCCCUGGUGACAUAUAAGUGGCGGAUUGUUUCGGGAAUAUCUCUAGAACCAUCAUCUUCAAUUCCCAAACAUUCCCCUGAAGAGACAAGCUGAGCUAGAUCAUGCAACAGAUCAUGCAUGACAUAAAAUCCCGGGCUUAGAUGGAUAUCAAAAAGGGAUUUCCUUGCCAGAUGGUUUAAAUACUCCUCUCCCAUAUCCUCUAAACUUCGCUUUUCAUGCAUUGGUUGCUUGAUUAACCCAGAACCUAUCCACAUACGGACAAGCUCAUUCUUUCCAAACAGAUGAUCCUUAGGAAAUAUACUGCAGUAUCUAAAGCAAAUUUGCAAGCUUGCAUGCCUGCAGGUCGACUCUAGAGGAUCCCCGGGUACCGAGCUCGAAUUCGCCCUAUAGUGAGUCGUAUUACAAUUCACUGGCCGUCGUUUUACAACGUCGUGACUGGGAAAACCCUGGCGUUACCCAACUUAAUCGCCUUGCAGCACAUCCCCCUUUCGCCAGCUGGCGUAAUAGCGAAGANCAAUAACCUCCACCGAAGGAAUAUUGGCGAAUUUUCCAGAGCCUUCAAUGUACUCCUUCAAUUCGGGGCGACAGCCGCUAAUUUUUAGAUUUUUCAUUGAGGCGGGCAGUUCUGGAAUCGAUCGCAGCAAACGAGCAUCAUGUAUCUCCAAAUAACACAGGGAUUGAAGAUCUAUCAUACUGCGCGGUAAGGAUUCAAGAGACGAGGCCUUAUGAAUAUCUAAGCGUUGAAGGGAGUUUCGGUUUUGCAACAGCCAUUGCUCGUCGAGGGAUGUGAGUUCGGUACCAUCAAUUAUUCUUAACUCGCUAACAGAGUUGUUGAGGUUUCUCAAUGGUUCGACGCGCAACAGAGCUGGCCGGUCGAUAUUAAGACUAAGAAGCUCCGUACCUGUGGGGCUGGUAUUAGUGAGGCCUAAUGGUGGUUGCAACAGUGAAAGUUCGACGAGCUUGUCGCAUCCUUCAAUCCGCAAGAAUUGGAGCGGGAGGAGAGCUUGUAGCCCAUCCAAUGACGACAGCUCUUUACAGUUCCAGAUGCUGAGUUCCGACAACCUUGGAAAAACUUCCGCCGUAGGAAGGGACGUCAUGCUUGCACAUCCACUAAUAUCCAAGGAGUGUAGAUUGUUCGAUUUUGGCAAUGACUCCAGUAGCGGCAAAUCGAAAUCGUCGUUUGAUACAAGGGCGAGUUGUCGAAGUGUCUCGGGCAAUCGAUCGUCUAGAAUCCCGUGUGUCGUGAGAUUGGGACACAUUAUUAUAGCCAAAUCCUUGAGGGAGGGAAGUUUUUGGAAGAAUUUUUCCGGCAAAUGCCUUAGAUUUUCACAUCCAACAAUGUAUAAACUCUUCAAGGCUGGAAAACAUUGUUGUUGUAACAUGAAUCCAUCUAGAGAUGUGAGGUUUGGGCACUCACAAAUGCUUAGUUUAAAAAGUGCAGGAUGCGAUGAUGAUGAGCACGAUGCUCGUCCUUGGCCGCUACUGCAAUCUUGUUGCAUCAUCGGAAGAGAAGUCAAUCCGGCCUUCCAAAUAACCAGUCGACUUAGAGUAAGAGGCAAAGCAGGCAAACCCUUCAAGCUAGGACAAGAACGUAUUUCCAAUUCAUUAAGCAGAGGGAACAUGUGCUCGCCUUCGAACAACUCCAAGUCCGGCAUGCUGUGCAAGUAUAGCUUCUGUAGUGAUGGAAAGGCGCAACCACCAACACUUCUUGGACAACAUAAUUUCUUUACAGCCUGCAUGCUUUCUAAAUAAAGAAACUCGAGCAAAGGAAGUUGCCCAAAAGGUGGGAGGUUCUCCCAUCUCUCACAGUUGGAUAGUGUGAUAGACCUUAUAAUAGAAAGAGAAGAUUUCUCCGUCAUCCAACAUGGAGAUCUAACUCCGGCAUAUCCUUCAAUUUCUAGUUUCUUGAGAUUGGUAUGUGGUCUUAAAUUAUCAAGAAGUGGCUCAUCUACCUCUAGACCACCAGAGCGAUUCCUAGACCAACGGAGUGACAAUUUAUAAAGAUUUUUUCUCUCAAUCAAGUUGGCAUCUGCAGCCUCUUCGGGACUCGUUACAUUUUCCAGACUACUAAUGCCUAAUUCUCGGAGGCUUUGCAGGUUUUUUAAUUGAUGGACACGGAAAUGGUCUAACUCCUGAAUUGCUUUGAAUUUGCAAAUCCAAGGAAUCUUGUCCAUUCCAUCCAGUAUCAAAAGAUCUUUCUCUGCCUGAAGCUGCAUUACUUCUAGGUGAUAGAGUCUAUACACAGAUUGAGGUAGAAUAAAUAUCUCAUUUUCUCUGUCACUCCUUGAAGAGAGGAAGAGGAAGAGGGAGAGGUAGCGGAGGUGAAUGAGUUUACCAACUUCAUCUGGAAACUUAUAGUCAGCAGCUGCGGUCACUCGUAGAAAGCGUAAGCUUUUUAAAUCUUUUAGAACCUUAUUAAAAUCUACUGCAGUGAAACUCUUGUUUA